rnacentral:rRNA from 1 species
CCUACGGGGGGUAGCAGUGGGGAAUAUUGGACAAUGGGCGAAAGCCUGAUCCAGCCAUGCCGCGUGUGUGAAGAAGGCCUUCGGGUUGUAAAGCACUUUCAGUGGGGAAGAAAGCCUUGGGGCUAAUACCCUCGAGGAAGGACAUCACCCACAGAAGAAGCACCGGCUAACUCCGUGCCAGCAGCCGCGGUAAUACGGAGGGUGCGAGCGUUAAUCGGAAUUACUGGGCGUAAAGCGCGCGUAGGCGGUCUGAUAAGCCGGUUGUGAAAGCCCCGGGCUCAACCUGGGAACGGCAUCCGGAACUGUCAGGCUAGAGUGCAGGAGAGGAAGGUAGAAUUCCCGGUGUAGCGGUGAAAUGCGUAGAGAUCGGGAGGAAUACCAGUGGCGAAGGCGGCCUUCUGGACUGACACUGACGCUGAGGUGCGAAAGCGUGGGUAGCAAACAGGAUUAGAUACCCCAGUAGUC